UCGCCGACGCCAAGCUGCCCGACAUGCAGGCGGGUUGGGAACAGGCCAUGUCCAACGUCAUGGCGGGCAUGUCCGGCCUGAACAUGGUCUACGAGGCCG
rfam:Roseobacter sp. GAI101 scf_1106754216546 genomic scaffold, whole genome shotgun sequence.